GACAGAGGCCUCGAGCGUUAGGCGGAAUCACUGGGCUUAAAGCGUGUGUAGGCGGGCCCGUUAGGGUCUUGUGAAAUCCCACGGCUCAACCGUGGAACUGCUGGGCAUACUGCGGGUCUUGGGCCAACUAGGGGCAGCCGGAACAAGCGGUGGAGCGGUGAAAUGCGUAGAUAUCGCUUGGAACGCCGAAGGUGGAAACAGGCUGCUGGGGUUGCGCCGACGCUGAGACACGAAAGCCAGGGGAGCAAACGGG
rnacentral:rRNA from 1 species